rnacentral:rRNA from 1 species
GACGUAGGGGGCAAGCGUUGUCCGGAAUCAUUGGGCGUAAAGGGCGCGUAGGCGGGCUUAUAAGUCUGAUGUGAAAGUGCGGAGCUUAACUCCAUAAAGCAUUGGAAACUGUAAGUCUUGAGGACAGGAGAGGAAAGUGGAAUUCCACGUGUAGCGGUGAAAUGCGUAGAGAUGUGGAGGAACACCAGUGGCGAAGGCGACUUUCUGGACUGUAACUGACGCUGAGGCGCGAAAGCGUGGGGAGCGAACAGG